AAGUGGAUAGUGAAAUCUGGUGGCUCAACCAUUCAGACUAUUAUCCAAACUGGCAAGCUCGAGAAUGGUAGAGGUAGCUGGAAUUUCUAGUGUAGGAGUGAAAUCCGUAGAUAUUAGAAGGAACACCAAUGGCGUAGGCAGGCUACUGGACCAUUUCUGACGCUGAGGCACGAAAGCGUGGGGAGCGAACCGGAUUAGAUACCCGGGUAGUCCACGCCGUAAACGAUGGAUACUA
rnacentral:rRNA from 1 species